UAGGGAAUAUUGGGCAAUGGACGAGAGUCUGACCCAGCCAUGCCGCGUGCAGGAAGAAGGCUUUCUGAGUCGUAAACUGCUUUUGAUAGGGAAGAAUAAGCUGCUCGUGAGCAGUGAUGACGGUACCUACAGAAUAAGCACCGGCUAACUCCGUGCCAGCAGCCGCGGUAAUACGGAGGGUGCGAGCGUUGUCCGGAUUUAUUGGGUUUAAAGGGUGCGUAGGCGGCCCGUUAAGUCCGGGGUGAAAGCCCGUUGCUCAACAACGGAACUGCCCUGGAUACUGGCGGGCUUGAGUACAGUGGAGGUUGGCGGAAUGGACCGAGUAGCGGUGAAAUGCAUAGAUACGGUCCAGAACCCCGAUUGCGAAGGCAGCUGACUACACUGGAACUGACGCUGAGGCACGACAGCGUGGGGAGCGAACAGG
rnacentral:rRNA from 1 species